AUUGAACGCUGGCGGCAGGCCUAAUACAUGCAAGUCGAGCGGAGCGGCGGAAGGGUGAGUAAUGCCUAGGGAUCUGCCUGGUAGUGGGGGAUAACGUACGGAGAGGGGAGCUUAUAACGCAUACGUGCAGGUCAGCCUAGGGCGGAUUAGCUAGUUGGUGGGGUAAAGGCCUACCAAGGCGACGAUCCGUAACUGGUCUGAGAGGAUGAUCAGUCACACUGGAACUGAGACACGGUCCAGACUCCUACGGGAGGCAGCAGUGGGGAAUAUUGGACAAUGGGCGAAAGUCUGAUCCAGCCAUGCCGCGUGUGUGAAGAAGGUUUUCGGAUUGUAAAGCACUGUAAUUUGGGAGGCGUUACCAACAGAAUAAGCAACGGCUAACUUCGUGCCAGCAGCCGCGGUAAUAC
rnacentral:rRNA from 1 species